UGGCUCAGAUGGUAAAGCAUCUGCCUACAAUGCAGGAGACCCAGGUUCGAUCCCUAG
rnacentral:tRNA from 1 species